rnacentral:rRNA from 1 species
UACGUAGGGUGCAAGCGUUAAUCGGAAUUACUGGGCGUAAAGCGUGCGCAGGCGGUUAUGUAAGACAGAUGUGAAAUCCCCGGGCUCAACCUGGGAACUGCAUUUGUGACUGCAUAGCUAGAGUACGGUAGAGGGGGAUGGAAUUCCGCGUGUAGCAGUGAAAUGCGUAGAUAUGCGGAGGAACACCGAUGGCGAAGGCAAUCCCCUGGACCUGUACUGACGCUCAUGCACGAAAGCGUGGGGAGCAACAGG